rnacentral:rRNA from 1 species
AGCAGCCGCGGUAAUUCCAGCUCCAAUAGCGUAUAUUAAAGUUGUUGCAGUUAAAAAGCUCGUAGUUGAAUUUCGGGGUUUAUCCGUUGGUCGGGCUUUUGGGUCUGUACUGGCGUGAUGGAUUCCUACCUUCUGAAUAACCAGCAUGUCAUUAAUUUGGUGCGUUGGGGAAGCAGGACUGUUACCUUGAAAAAAUUAGAGUGCUUAAAGCAGGCUAUUGCCUGAAUACAUUAGCAUGGAAUAAUGAAAUAGGACGUAUGGUUCUAUUUUGUUGGUUUCUAGGAUCACCGUAAUGAUUAAUAGGGAUAGUUGGGGGCAUUAGUAUUCAAUUGUCAGAGGUGAAAUUCUUGGAUUUAUUGAAGACUAACUUCUGCGAAAGCAUUUGCCAAGGAUGUUUUCAUUAAUCAAGAACGAAAGUUAGGGGAUCGAAGACGAUCGGAUACCGUCGUAGUCUUAACCAUAAACUAUGCCGACUAGGGAUCGGACGAUGUUAAUUUUUAAUGACUCGUUCGGCGCCUUA